rnacentral:rRNA from 1 species
UUGGAGGGCAAGUCUGGUGCCAGCAGCCGCGGUAAUUCCAGCUCCAAUAGCGUAUAUUAAAGUUGUUGCAGUUAAAAAGCUCGUAGUUGAAUUUCGGGAUCAAUAUGCCGGUCAUGCCUUGGUAUGCACUGGUAUCUUUGAUUUCUCCCUUCUGACGAACUUUGAUGUCAUUAAUUUGGUGUCAUAGGGAAUCAGGACUGUUACUUUGAAAAAAUUAGAGUGUUUAAAGCAAGCUCACGCUUGAAUACAUUAGCAUGGAAUAAUGAAAUAGGACGUUUGAUUCUAUUUUGUUGGUUUCUAGGAUCGACGUAAUGAUUAAUAGGGAUAGUUGGGGGCAUUAGUAUUCAAUUGUCAGAGGUGAAAUUCUUGGAUUUAUUGAAGACUAACUACUGCGAAAGCAUUCACCAAGGAUGUCUUCUUUAAUCAAGAACGAAAGUUGGGGGAUCGAAGACGACCAGAUACCGUCGUAGUCUCAACCAUAAACUAUGCCGACUAGGGAUCGGACGAUGUUAUUUUUUGACUCGUUCGGCACCUUACGGGAAAC